AGAGUUUGAUCCUGGCUCAGGAUAAACGCUGGCGGCGUGCCUAACACAUGCAAGUCGAACGCUCUCUCAGCAAUGGGAGGGAGUGGCGGACGGGUGAGUAACACACGGGAAUCGACCCACACGUGAGGAAUACCACCGGGAAACCGGUGACAAUACCGCAUACGCUCGGACAACCGAGCAAAGCUCUUUUUCGGAAGGGCGCGCGUGGACGAGCCUGUGCCUGAUUAGUUCGUUGGUGGGGUAAGAGCCUACCAAGACUGCGAUCAGUCGCUGGUCUGAGAGGAUGAUCAGCCACACUGGGAUUGAGAACGGCCCAGACUCCUACGGGGGGCAGCAGUGAGGAAUAUUCGGCAAUGGGGGCAACCCUGACCGAGCAACGCCGCGUGCAGGAUGACGGCCUUCGGGUUGUAAACUGCUUUUCUGGGGGAUGAGAAACGGACAGUACCCCAGGAAGAAGCUCCGGCUAACUACGUGCCAGCAGCCGCGGUAAUACGUAGGGAGCAAGCGUUGUCCGGAGUUACUGGGCGUAAAGCGCACGCAGGCGGUCUGUCGCGUUCGUGCCGACAGCGACUCGCCUAACGAGUCGAGGAGUACGGAAACGGGCAGACUUGAGGGUCAGAGAGGGACACGGAACCCCGGGUGGAGUGGUGAAAUGCGUAGAGAUCCGGAAGAACACCAAAGGCGAAGGCAGUGUCCUGGCUGAUACCUGACGCUCAGAGGCGACAGCGAGGGGAGCGAACGGGAUUAGAUACCCCGGUAGUCCUCGCCGUAAACGAUGACCACGAGAUGUCCGGGGGAUCGACCCCCUGGGUGUCGCAGCUAACGCAGUCAGUGGUCCGCCUGGGGAGUACGGUCGCAAGAUUAAAACUCAAAGGAAUUGACGG
rnacentral:rRNA from 1 species